CAGAUUUCUUAACAUUCUGCUUUCAAAAAAUUAGUCAUUAUUUUAGCCGUGGAUCAAGGGGGGCCUUGGUGUAAUUGGUAAAGUUGUUGUCAUGUGACCAGGAAAGCCUACCUUGAGAAAAUUGUAUGAGCUAUUUCAAUGCAUACUUAAAAUGGGCCCUAUUGGCCAGGUAUGCUGGCUUAUUUAAUCUCUGAUCCCCUUCCUGGAAGUUUGGCAAAUCUUUUCUCU
rnacentral:lncRNA from 1 species